rnacentral:rRNA from 1 species
CUACAGAAACUACAAAUGAAGUUGACGGGGCCCGCGACAAGCGGAGGAGCAUGUGGUUUAAUUCGAUGAUACGCGAGGAACCUUACCUGGGCUCGAACGUAAGAUGACUGUAGGUGAAAGCUUACAUCUCUUCGGAGCAUUUUACGAGGUGCUGCAUGGUUGUCGUCAGCUCGUGCCGUGAGGUGUCGGGUUAAGUCCCAUAACGAGCGCAACCCCUACCUUUAGUUGCCAUCAGGUUAAGCUGGGGACUCUAAAGGAACUGCCUACGCAAGUAGUGAGGAAGCGGGGAUGACGUCAAAUCAGCACGGCCCUUACGUCCAGGGCUACACACGUGCUACAAUGGCCGGUACAGAGGGCAGCUACCUGGUGACAGGAUGCAAAUCUCCAAAGUCGGUCUCAGUUCGGAUCGGAGUCUGCAACCCGACUCCGUGAAGUUGGAUUCGCUAGUAAUCGCGCAUCAGCCAUGGCGCGGUGAAUACGUUCCCGGGCCUU